rnacentral:lncRNA from 1 species
CUUCAGAACUGGAUAAUGAUAUUCCAAAAGCAACCUGCCUCUCCACUGAAAGCAGUGACUGAAAGCAGAAGGCCCCUGUCAUCACUCUUCCCUCAGAGUCAAGGGAAGAAACAGCCGCCCUUGGAGAGAGGACAUUCGACUGUUGCUACCCAGGUUGCCACUUCAAAACUCUCCAUGGCAUGAAAGACUUGGACCGCUAUCUCAGAAUCCACAACGGGUGACGAACCGCUCAAGUGUGAGUUCUGUGACAAGUGCUUCAGCGGAAGGACAACCUGACCAUGCACAUGUGAUGCCGCACGAGUGUUACCUGUGUGACUAUGCUGCCGUGGACAGCAGGAGCCUCAAGAAGCACCUACGGAUCCACUCGGACGAGCAGCCAUACAAAUGCCAGCUCUGCCCCUAUGUCAGCCGCAACUCCAGCCAGCUCACCGUCCACCUGCGAUCCCACACUGGGGAUAUCUCCUUCCAGUGCUGGCUCUGUAGCGCCAAGUUCAAAAUCAGCUCAGACUUGAAAAGGCACAUGAUCGUGCACUGGGGGAGAAGCCUUUCGAGUGCGAGUUCUGCAGCGACGUCCGCUGCACCAUGAAGGCGAAUCUCAAAUCGCACAUCCGCAUCAAGCACACCUUCAAGUGUCUGCACUGUGCCUUCCAGGGCCAGGAUGGGCUGACUUCCUGGAGCAUAGCUGGCUGCACCAGGCCGACCACCCAGAGAAGUGUCCUGAGUGCAACUCCUGCUCCAGCGCAGCCGCCCUGUGCAUACACAGCGGAGUCCACUGUAAGGACUGAAACUUCAAGUGUGACUUCUGCAGCUCCGACGCGAAGUGGCCCAGCAGCCUGGCCAAGCGCAUCGACAGGGUGCACAAGGAUGAGGCCAAGACAGAGAACUGGGCCUCUCCGGGCAAGGAAGGGCUCACAGAGCAGCUCCCGACACGUGGCCAAGAUCGUGAGGCAGAGGGCCUUUCGCUGUGAGACCUGCGGCGCCGCCUUUGUCAGGGAUGACUCUGAGAUGCCACAAGCAGCAGCACAGUGAUCAGAGUGAGAACAAGGACUCAGACUUGGUCGCCUUCCCACCUGCAAGCUGUGCCUCGGGACAGCUCAGCACCAUGGUCUCCGUGGGGCAGCUCAAGCCUCCCCUGGAGCCCAGCCAAGACCUCUAGCUCAGAGGAAAAG